rnacentral:lncRNA from 1 species
CCAACACCCGCGGCCCCACCUGCCGGGAGUGAGUGUCCCCCAGCCUCCCCCGCCCCUGCCCGCGCUGCCGCCAGGCUGGUGACCCCCGCCCGCCCCCAGGUCCGCGCAGGACCACUUCCUCCCGGACCUGCACCACCUGCGCCUGGAGCUGGAGGAGGCGACCGCGGCCGAGGGCCACCCCGCCCGCUUCGGCUUCAACCCCCUCGAGUUCGAGAACUUCAGCUGGAGGGGCUACGCGCAGAUGACGCCCACCCAGCCCAGCAUCCAGGUGCGGCUGAACGUCAGCUCCCCCGACCUCUUCCGGCUCGUCUUCCGCUACGUCAACCGCGGCCCCGCGACCGUGAGCGGGCACGUGUCCGUGCGGGAGGACGGCAGCGCCCCCGCCUGCGCCAACUGCACGGAGCAGAGCCAGCGCGUGGCCUUCGCGCCCAGCGCGGAGCCCGCCUUCGUCACCGUGCCGCAGCGGGGCCUCGGCGAGCCCUUCGUGCUGAACCCCGGCGCCUGNNNNNNNNNNNNNNNNNNNNNNNNNNNNNNNNNNNNNNNNNNNNNNNNNNUGCCCAGCGCCUACUACGAGGCGGCCCUGCUGCAGCUGCGCGUGGCCGAGCCCUGCGUGCACCGGCCCCCCGCCCGGAGCGCCGGCGAGAAGUGAGGGCCGCCCGGGGCGGGGUCCUGGGCGGGCACAGCUCGGCCAGCGCCCCGCUGACCGCGCCCUGUGUGCCCGCAGCUGCCUGCUCUACACCCACCUGCCCCUGGACGGCAUCCCCUCAGCCGCCGGGCCUGACGCCCUGUGUCGCCACGACAACAGCCUGCCCAGGCCCUGCCCCACGGAGCAGCUCAACCCCUCGCACCCGCUGCUGGCCGCCUGCCGGGGCAGUGAUGUGGACGUCCAGCUGCAGGUGGCGGUGCCGCGGCCCGGCCGCUACGCCCUGGUGCUGGAGUACGCCAACGAGGACGGCCGCCAGGAGGUGGGCGUGGCCGUGCACACGCGCCAGCGGGCGCCGCAGCAGGCCGCGCUCAGCCUCCACGCCUGCCCGUACAGCACCCUGUGCCGGGCCACCGCUGUGGAUGCACAGCACCGCCUGGCCACCUUCCACGUGGACACGGAGGCCAGCGUCCGGCUCGCGGCCGAGCAGGCGAACUUCUUCCUGGUAAGGCCCAAAGCCCCGCAGGACCUCGGGGCGCGCAAGAGGCUUGCGGCGAGCCCCGGGCACCCGUCCCGCUCAAGCCCCUGGCCGCCUCGCCGGGUUUUAGCCCAUGGCAUUGCGGUCACGGCCAGGCUGACGCUUUCCACCAAAGUGCCUCGUGCACGCAGAGACGCUCAGGCCGGGCCCCGGAGGCCGCACCAGGUGACUGGGGGCCGCGUGGUCCUGCCCGUGACGGGCGGGGGGAGGUAUGUGUGCUGGUUAUC